AAGCAGACAUUGAUGUCUUCAGGUGCUGAUAUCGGUGAUGGAGAAGAAGUCUACAUAUUGGCAGGUACUGUACUAUGGAAUGUGGAAGGUGGAAGCAUUUGCUAAUGGAGGGGCAGUGAUGGCAUCACCAUCACAUAUGUUGUGCCAGAAAAGGAAACCGCUGCGACCUGAUGAGGGGAUGAAUGCAGUCCGACAGACACAGUGUGUGUGUGAGUACCAGGAGGGGCAGGCCACAGGCAGUGAAGGACCAUGGAGCCAAUAGGAACUGACGAAGGGGGACAUGGCUGCAGCUUGUCAGUGACGCUAGCACUACCCACAUCAUCUAUUGCCUCAGAUGGUGGGGAGGGCUUUUCUGUUGGAAUUACUGUGCAGGGCCAUGACGGAGGUGGAACUAGCUCCACCCACCAUUACAAGUGAUGGAACUCAGUUUGACCCCAUUCCCCCCUGCUGUAACCGCUGACUAACACUGACUUAUCAAAUUAUAGCCAGCAGAUUUGUGCAGUUAAAUAAACACUUCUAUGUUUUGUGCUCUUGCUAAGCAGAAUAUCAUUAUUGUUAACAUGGAAAAGAAAUUCAAGCUUUGUGACAGCCACAACUGUUUAAGUAAGAAAUUCAUUGGAAAAGCCUAACCUUACAAUGACUUGUAAUAGCAGUUUCUUCUAACGUGAUUUAAGCUUACAAUGGCUAUUGUUAUUAUCCUGCGUACGUUACAAGAGAAAGCAAGGAAAUUGUGUACACCACCAAGCUUAUUAUCUAGGACAAUGUAAAAAACAUUUUGGUUAAACCAAAGUUACUUAUAAUUCAGUAUAACAUUAAUAUAUUGGUAAAGAUAAAUUAAUGUAUUGUGCAAGUUAUAAAUUGUAAAUAGUUGUGAAAAGAAUGCAACAGUUUAAUUAGCACUUAAAGUAUAUUGUAACCUCGGAAUAAUUUUUUGACUUUUAAUUUAUUUGUAGUGUUGUUAAAAUAUAUGUUGUAUGCACUUACCUGUUUUCGUUGUAGAAAAGGUCGCCAGAG